AUAGAUUCGGUUGCAACAGCUUCACUUCAUAACCAAACACUUUGCCAAAUAUGGGGAAUUUUUGGAUGAAGAUGAUAUCAGACGGUGGGACAGUGCCCCGGGCUGAGUGCGGGUGACAGGAGACACCGGCUCACCGCGUCAGUGACCAAGAACCAGGCAGGAUGUCAAACCAAAACAACAGCACGGCGACGGCGAGCCGCCGGUGUGCGGGGCGGGAACGAGCAGGGACCGGGAGGUUCCGCGUCCCCUCAGCGCGCACAGACAAGCCGCUGGACUGCCGAGCUGCCGACAGCACGGCUGCCAUUUUGUGAAGGAAAAAAAAAUAAGCCCGUAUAUCGGUUCAACGGGCUGCGGGGUUUCCUUCGAAAGAGGGAGGGGGGGGG